AUGAAACUCGGACGGCUUAAGCGCGACUGCAGUGAUAUGGGUACGCUAAUGGCGGCUCUUGUCAAGUACGCCGAUUCCGAUGGUACCAAGGAUCCCCCUUCAGAUGAUGAAAGGGCAGGGAAGGGAAAGAAGAAUGGCAAUGGCAAGGGUCCUCAGUAUAACCCGGGGAACCAAGGAGGAGGCAAGCGCAAGGCUGAUGGCAGCCUAGAGUUUGUAGCCAACGCCAGCUCACAAGGUAAUAACCAGCGACGCAAGGGGAUGCCCCCUCCCCGAGGCGGCGGGUCAGGCCCGACAUUGGAGCAACUGUUGAAUGAGCCUUGUCCAAGGCACGGCUCUAGAGAGAAGCCAGCGACUCAUUUAUGGAAGGAUUGUGCAAUCAUGAAGGCAUUCAAGAGUUACAAUGGC
rnacentral:rRNA from 1 species